rnacentral:rRNA from 1 species
GCGGAGGAAAAGAAACUAACAAGGAUUCCCCUAGUAACGGCGAGUGAAGCGGGAAGAGCUCAAAUUUAAAAUCUGGCUUGCUUGCAAGUCCGAGUUGUAGUCUGAAGAAGCGUUUUCCAUGAAAGCUGAGGCACAAGUCCUUUGGAACAGGGCAUCAUAGAGGGUGAGAAUCCCGUCCAUGGUCUCAUGCAUUUCAUUUUGUGAUACGUUUUCUAAGAGUCAGGUUGUUUGGGAAUGCAGCCUAAAAUGGGUGGUAAAUUUCAUCUAAAGCUAAAUAUUGGCGAGAGACCGAUAGCGAACAAGUACCGUGAGGGAAAGAUGAAAAGAACUUUGAAAAGAGAGUUAAAAAGUACGUGAAAUUGUUGAAAGGGAACCGUUUGAAGCCAGUCUUGCUUACUUGUGAUCAAUCUUAGCUUCGGCUUGGAUGCACUCUCAAGUUAUGCAGGUCAACGUCAGUUUGAGAGGUGGGAAAAAAGUUUGAGGAAUGUGGCCUUCGGGUGUUAUAGCCUCUUACUAAAUACCAUCUCUUGGACUGAGGCUCGCAGCAAAAAUGUGGGUUGGUUUGCUCCUGAGGUGAAUCAUUAUUAAGACAGCUUGCUGACUUAGUUUUGUGGAUCUUCACGGUAGGCCAGCUUCUAAUUUGCUUAGGUCGUUGACAUAAUGGCUUUAAAUGAC